rnacentral:rRNA from 1 species
UACGUAGGGUGCGAGCGUUAAUCGGAAUUACUGGGCGUAAAGCGCGCGUAGGCGGCUUUGUAAGUUAGAGGUGAAAGCCCGGGGCUCAACCCCGGAAUUGCCUUUAAGACUGCAUCGCUUGAAUCCGGGAGAGGUGAGUGGAAUUCCGAGUGUAGAGGUGAAAUUCGUAGAUAUUCGGAAGAACACCAGUGGCGAAGGCGGCUCACUGGACCGGUAUUGACGCUGAGGUGCGAAAGCGUGGGGAGCAAACAGG